rnacentral:rRNA from 2 species
ACGUAGGGGGCAAGCGUUAUCCGGAAUUACUGGGUGUAAAGGGUGCGUAGGUGGUAUGGCAAGUCAGAAGUGAAAACCCAGGGCUUAACUCUGGGACUGCUUUUGAAACUGUCAGACUGGAGUGCAGGAGAGGUAAGCGGAAUUCCUAGUGUAGCGGUGAAAUGCGUAGAUAUUAGGAGGAACAUCAGUGGCGAAGGCGGCUUACUGGACUGAAACUGACACUGAGGCACGAAAGCGUGGGGAGCAAACAG